UACGGGGGGGGGCAAGCGUUGUUCGGACUUCCUGGGCGUAAAGGGCUCGUAGGGGGUCAACUAAGUCGGACGUGAAAUCCCUCGGCUUAACCGGGGAACUGCGUCCGAUACUGGAUGACUUGAGUUCGGGAGAGGGAUGCGGAAUUCCAGGUGUAGCGGUGAAAUGCGUAGAUAUCUGGAGGAACACCGGUGGCGAAGGCGGCAUCCUGGACCGACACUGACGCUGAGGAGCGAAAGCCAGGGGAGCAAACAGG
rnacentral:rRNA from 1 species